ACUGCUGUCUGCAACCCACUGACAGUGCUGAGCAGCAGCAGCACCACUACCAGCAGUAUGAAACAAAAAACAACUUCCUCGGUUUUCUAUUAUAAUUUAUAACUCAGUGCUCUGACUUCACCUCCUUCACACUGACAAGGAAAACUAUUCAUAGCUAACCACCACGUUUUUGGGGGGAGUGAGUGGAAGAGUUCCUUCACGAUUAUGCCUUUGAGAAUAUCCAAACAGCAUUUUCUCAAUGGUUCUGAAGAGCGCAGAGGCAGGAUAAUCCUGUACCUUCUCCUUGGACUUCACAACAUAUGUGAGCCACAACAUGAUUCAUAAUACUGAAGUCUGAUGAGCUUGUGUACUUGUUAUGUUAUGAUGUAUCACAAUAAUUCUCAGGAUAUUACUUUUCUGGAAACAGCAACAUUUAGCUGCACUGCUUGAGCAAUAUGUAAUUCACAACUACAGGCCCUGCAUAUGUACUUCAGCACUUGACCACUCUCUGUCUCCAUGAUGUAUGUGCCUUC